rfam:HIV-1 isolate 00KE_KER2018 from Kenya, partial genome.
AGGUCUCUCUUAGUAGACCAGAUCGAGCCUAGGAGCUCUCUAGCUAGCAAAAGAACCCAC